AUCCGGUACGCGUUUUUCUUUUGAGAAGUUCUGUGCCAUGAUCUGGCGGCUUUUGGUUGUCCCUGGGAGGUUACCAGACAGUUUCGGCUGGUAGCUUCCGGCACAACGCAACCGCCGUCGCCGACCAGCGGCUCCGCCAGCUGUACAACUGGAAAACGUGCCGUUUGUCUGUACCUGCUCGUUGCGGUAGAAUUCUUUGCUAGGUGUCUUACGUUCCACAGGUAGGCGCCCCCUGUGCCGUGUCUUUGGAAGAAUGAGAAGUUAAUUUUUCAUAGUAGCGCUUACACAAGUUCGCAGGUAAAAAGAGCAACAAACCACCCGAGACUACAGAAACAGCUGGAAGGGUCGCCGUUCUGCUGGUGCUGUUGACCGGCUGUAUAUUGUACACACAAACCAGGCGACGCAGCGGACACAGUGACUUGCCGAGUUUUGAAUAAAAACCCGCAUAUGCGGUGUUCCAGCUAGGGACGAGGGAGCAAUAGUGGCCACAUGUCAGUGCUGAUACAACUUCAAGGCAAAGGUACGCAAAUGUUGCAAUUUUGAGCGAACGUGACGAUGUUCACUAUUGUGGUCUCCUUGCUGAUUUUGGUCUGUACGGAAUACUUGGGUUUACCUGCGUAAACGGCAGUGGAUUUGGACCCGUUCUCGAAACCAUGCUACCUCAAUAAAACUUGAAUCGGGGAAAAAGAGACAUCCAAGAUCAAAACUAGUAGGCCAGCUCGCCGUUGCCAUGGGUACGAUCCACGUAGAAAGUAUCUUAUCCGUCCAGGUGUGGAUGUUACACUUGAGAGCGUUGCCCAGUGAUGUCCUCAUUAAAACGUAGAAGUACGGAACUGCACGCGUCGCAGCUGGGAUAUCGAGGCUCACAUACACGUAUGAAACUGAGUUGAGCCCCACACCCG
rnacentral:lncRNA from 1 species